rnacentral:rRNA from 1 species
AUAGCCAUGGGAGAGGUUGCGUAACACUUAUAAGCCCCCCGGGGGGUGAUUAUCCGAUUUGGAUUGGCCGCGUUAGAUUAGAUAGUUGGUGGGGUAAAGGCCUACCAUGUCUACGAUUUAUAGCUUGGCCCAGAGGAUGAUUAGCAACACUCGGGACUGAGACACGGCCCAGACUCCUACGGGAGGCAGCAGUCGGGGAAAUCCCGGACAUUCGGGCGCAUGCCUGAUUCCAGCCAUCGCCGCGUGAGUGAACGAAAGGCCUUCAGGGUUCGUAAUGCUUCUUUUCGCCAGGGAACGAUAUUCGAACAGUACCCUGGGUAAAAGAAAACCCCCGGCUAAACUCCCCGUCGCCCAGCAAGCCCGCCGGUAAUAACGGAGGGGGUUAAGCGUUCGUUUCGGAAAUUAACUCGGGCGUAAAAGCGCGCGUAAGGCGGGUUCGUUAAAAGUUAAGAAGGUUGAAAAUCCCCGGGGCUUCAAACCCCCGGAAACUCGCCCUUUUAAAUAACUUGGCAAACCCUAAGAAGUUUCGAAGAAGAGGGUUGAGGUUGGAAAUUUCCGAAGUUGUAAGAAGGUUGAAAAUUUCGUAAGAAUAUCUUCGGAGGAAACACCAGUUGGCGAAAGCGGCUUCACUUGGCUUCGAUCACUUGAACGCUUGAAGUUGCGAAAAGUUGUUGGGGGAUAGCAAAACAGGA